rnacentral:rRNA from 1 species
AUGACUGAGAAGGCGGUGUGGGAUGAUGCCCAUCUCAAGAAACUCAUUGAAAUAUUGAGAGAAGAGGUUGAAAAGGGGAAUAGGCCAUUAGGUUAUUUAAACAAGAGGGGUUGGGAAAACGUUUUGGAGAAAUGGGAAGCUAGAACGGGAAAGAAGUAUCCCAAGGAUAAAUUCAAAAACAAGUGGGAUGCCAUAAAAAAUGAGUACACUUGGUUCAUGGAGUUGAAAAAUGAAGCAACUGGGCUUGGAUGGGAUGAUGCGAAGAGAACCGUUGAUUGCUCUAAAGAAUGGUGGGAUGAACAUAUCAAGAGAUGCCAAGAGAGUACAGGAAAGAAAUGCAAUCAUAUGAAGUUCAAAAAACAGGGACCAAAGCACCUUGAAGAUUUGCACAUCAUAUUUGACAAAGUACAUGUUACUGGGGCUAGUGCUUCUUGUGCUGGAGAUAUAUCUUCUGAUGAAUCAAGUGAUGAUAAUGCGGUUCCUUUCGAGAAGCCCGAUGGUGGUGCUGAAAUGAAGUUGGCAUCUUCGAAGAAACCAAAACCAAGCAAGAAGCGCAAGCAACCUUCUAACGCAAAUGAGGAGAAGGAAGAGAAGAGUCCAUUCUUACGAUUGUACAAGCAGACAUGCGAGAAAAUAGAAAGUGGAGUGGAGAAGAUAACUUCAAGUGUUGAAGCAUCAUCCGCUCCUCUCACAAACCAUGUUCCCACCAUUUCAGAAGUAAUGAAGAUGGUCAAAGAAUGUGGUGUGAAGGAAAAAACUGCUCUCAUGCACACAACCCUCACUCUUAUAGUGAAGCCCGAGUUUAGGGAAAUCUUCAAUGUUCUUGAAACAAAAGAAGGGAGGUUUGAUUUUUUGGAGAGGGAGCAUGAGAAGGAGAUGUUGAAGCACGUGUAG